UUUUUUAAAUAUGCUAUGUGAUUUUUUAAUUCUUCUGGAUAGUCAUUGAAUACAUGCCACCGUAUUAGUGACAUAGUUUUCGGGUAAUUCUGAUUCUCUGUGGAUAAUGAAUGCUAUUAGUUUAGUUCUUUCCAGAUGUUGGGGUGUGGCCUCGAAUGCUUGGUUUUCAAUGGCUGAAAGUUCUUAGGCCUGCAGCGACAACAACAUUAGUGCACAUGGUUUUAGUGAUGCCCAAAUUACACAAAUAAAGUAUGUUCCUCUCAUCCUCAAGUUAAUCAUUUUAAUCUUCUUCCUUAUUUCUAUUCUGCAGGCAUGAAACACACACUGAUUUGACACCUUCAGUUAUUUUAGAUCGGGAUUGUUUUUAGUGAUGACCAAAUUCCACAAAUAAAGUAUGUUCCUAUGAUCCUCAAGUUUACCAUUUUAACCUUCUUCCUUAUUUAUUUUCUGCGGGCACGAAACACACACUAAUUUCUAGACACCUUCAACUAUUCCAGAUCUGGAUUGUUUUUAGUGCUGCCCAUAUUCCACAAAUGAAUGGCUUUCUCAGGAAAGAGACUUGUGAAAUCAUGAUGCAGUGCUGCUCUCCACUUGUAUGUGUUUCGUUCUAGCCUAGCGUGCCUUGGUCGGGAAAAAGACCGUUGUAAAUUCAUGGUUUGGUACCAUUAUCUACUUAUUAACGUGCUUUCAUGAUUCAUGGUGUACUGAUCUUCUAAUGUUGCUACUGUUUGGUGUAUCUCCACUUUUGGCAGUAUAUAUUCAGGAGUGUUAAGCUAUGGUUCGUUACCAAAUAUAUGCCCAAUUUCA